rnacentral:rRNA from 1 species
UACAGAGGGGGCAAGCGUUGUUCGGAAUUACUGGGCGUAAAGGGCGCGCAGGCGGCCGCCUAAGUCAGACGUGAAAUCCCUCGGCUCAACCGGGGAACUGCGUCUGAUACUGGGUGGCUUGAAUUCGGGAGAGGGAUGCGGAAUUCCAGGUGUAGCGGUGAAAUGCGUAGAUAUCCGGAGGAACACCGGUGGCGAAGGCGGCUUCCUGGACCGACACUGACGCUGAGGCGCGAAAGCUAGGGGAGCAAACGGG